CAAAGCGAUAAAAAAAAAAAUACCCCUGAGAUAAGUUUAAGUUACUGAAAUGUAUGUGGGAGUAGCCCUUUGUGUGUGUGUGUGUGCGUGCGUGGGUGGGUGGGUGUGUGGGUGUGUCUCGUGUACCUGAAGGAGAGGAGCGGGUGACGUUCACUGUGUGAGUGCAGUGCUCCAGAUAGACUGGCAGCAGGAUGAGACUCAGAGGAACCACUACCAGGCCCUGCUCACUGUCAUCAGGACUGUCCAGCUCAUGGAGGGCUCCAGCAUCAUGACCACCUGUUGCCUCCCUGCUGGUAACACAGGAGGGUCUGCGUCCCAAAUGGCACCUUAUCCCUUUAUUGUGCACAACUUUUGACCAAAGACCUAUGGGCCUUGGUCAAAAGUAGUACUUUAAAUAGGGUGCCAUUUGGGAUGCAUACAAGGGUUAGCCUAGUGGCAAGAGUGAGGGCAGAAGCAAGAGGAGGAAGUGGGAGCUCAAAGAUAAGUACCAGUACUCUCCUCAGAAAGUUGAGUUCUGUUACCUUUGGGUCCAGCACUGGCCCCCUCCCAGUCCUGCCCAUCCUCCCAUCCAAGAGCCUGCCCAGCCUGGACAUCAAGAGAAAGAAAAUGCCCUGGAUGUACAUGGCCAAGCAGAAAUUAUACCAGUUCACUCAGAAUGAGGUCACGGGGAAAGAGAGUCGUGGAGUGACAGCGCCCUCUAGUGCUCCCACUGCUCCAGAGCAGCAGGUGGGAAGGACGAGGGAGGCUCUGGCUCACUGGCAGGCCUGUACUGAGCCUCUCACUGAGGAGACCUGAGCCCUGCUGCCCUUAGAGGACGUCAGGAUGGAAGGCUUAAUCCACCUGCACUACAGGAAUACCAAUCUGUACGACCUUCCAUUUCAAACCUUGGCUUUGAAGUACCCCAAGAUGGCUGUGGAGGAGAUCAGUAAAACUCAUAGUC